CCUCCUCGUCCCUACCUCCCCCUUCUCCUCGACCCUCGGCCUCCUCUCGAGACUUUCGCGUCUUCCAUCUGCCAUCACGCCGACCUCCCCGCCGCCUCCCGCGCCGACGAGCUCAUGGUUGCGCUGACUACGCCCUACGACGCCGUCUACAUCGAUGUGAAGCCCGCGGAGGACGGGGUCGAGGUGAGGGUGGAGAUGCAGGUCGUAAGGAGACGGGAGGCGCUGCAGUCGGUCUGGGGCCCACGCAGUGCGUCGGCGACGGCGCCGUUGUCCAGUACUCAUCACAUCCAACCUCGCGGCCGCGCCCGCGCCGGCUGCUGACGGAGCAGCCGCUGAAGGGAUGCCCGUUCUCGUCGACCACUGGCGCUGCGCCGCGGUGCUUAGCCUAUGCAACUACGCCGUGAUGGAACACAACUAUUGAUUUCAACAAUAGGUGUGAAAUAGUAUGUGCACAGCUAGACACUGCGAAAGCUGCAGAUGCCAUGAGCGGCGGCGCCGUUCCUCGCGGUCUAUUACCAAUCGCCGCCACCCGCAGUGGUUGCGCCACUGCUAUUUCGGUGUCCAGCGGCCUCACCCUCUUCUCGUCCGCCAUGGCGCUCGCAGGAGUUGAUGUCGGAGCUGCGUGCCACGAAUCAGGCUCUUGUCCAGAUGGAGGACUUGGCUUGAGCAUGAUCCAAUACUACACUACGACUCAACAUAGUGUGAGGCAAUCUUGUUCUUACCCGAUGUAGGUACAUCUGAGUAAGAUUUUCCUUUUGGUUCGCAAACCGAUCUUCUGCCUGUAGAGUUGUUUUUGCAUUAUUUUUUUAUGUGGUGUGAUUGUCCAUAAUAGCAGGGAGUAAUGUCAUUUGUGAUUUGGAUUGCGAGAGUUUAAAGUUGCAUUAUUCUACUUGUUAUGUUUCCAUCAAUUUACAAAUUACAGUAUCACUGUCAGUGAUUUUGAUUUUCAAUGCCAUUAUUUGACAUUCACCAUCCCCCUGCCAUACAAGGGGAAGAAAAGUAUACAUUCAGUAUUCCUCUCUCCAAUAAUUGAUUAUUAAUCAGAGCUGCAUGGACGGGAUCUUGAUCAGGUGCACAUUGAUCUAGCUGCAGUUUGGGUUCUAUGCUCUAUUAUUGCCUUUUUAUAGCAAGUCGCCAUUUUUGUAUUCUGUGAUCUCUAUAUGCAAACUUGUUGUCAUGUUUCAUCCCUGAUUUAGAUUGCAGGUUGCUUUUCUCUAAUAUAACAUUGUGGGAUCUUGCUUCACGGUAGCAGCCUAAUGAUCAAAAUUAAAAAAUGAACAGUUAGGUUUUGGAAAAUAUUAUAUAUGCACAGUGUGAUGAGCUACUGGUGCAAGAGAAAAGCCUAAUGAUCAAACUUAAAAAAUGAACAGAUAUUAUAUAUGCACAGUGCGAUGAGAUACUGGUGCAAGAGAAAACUAUUAUCGCAAUAGUUUCUUCAUCAAUUAAUACCAUAAUAGGUUGUAAAUUUCAGAAUUUGGUUUAUCUAGACCUGUCAUUAGCCGUUUAACUUGACAUGCAUUUAAGAAAUAUCAGUUUCUACUUAAGCCGCUGGACCUUGGAAAAUUAUUUAGAAGAAGUGAUUGAUGCUCGAGUAUCAGACUUGAGUACCUAACAGUGCACAUGACCAUAAUACUAUUAGCAGUAACACGUGCUUGAUGCCGCACUUCUGUGUAAUGCUCCAUGCUUAUAUUUGUUCUCAUGACAACUUAGUUAUAGAUUUUUGCAGAUAAUGAAAUGGUACAGUAUCGAGCAUACUCUGAGCGCCACAUGUACUGUAGCACGCCACGACGACCGGCGCAGGUCAUGUUUCUCUCCAUUCUCCUCCUCUAGCUCCCUCCCUCUAGAUUCCAUUGUAGCUUUUAUGUGAAAGAGGCCAGAUCAUGAACAUCUGCGGUGAGCUUUUGUGCUACUUUAUUUUCAGAGUGAUUACCAGUACUGCAAAUGUCGGAUAAAACGUGGUGGGUAAUACUUGUGUGGCAACAAUUAUUAUGUUCCCAUGAAAUUAAUCCUUUUCUUCUUUGUUAAUUAUCAUCUUCCAUGAAUAUUCGUUCCAUCUAUCUGUUCUUCUAGCUGAAAUUGAUCAUGUCGGAUAACUGUCUUUCCUGCAUCACAAGUUCUAUCCUUCUGAUAGAUUGUUGAAAUAUUCAUCGGUUUGCUUGAAAUCCUAUUGAUCCACCCCGAAAAGCAUGCUCUAAAGCUUCUUACUCUAUGGGAAUAAUUUUUUAUCAGAAUCUACAGCUAUCAUGCUUCAAACUGACUGGUUUUAUUCAUAAUUUGCUCAUACCUGAGAUAUUCUUCUUUCCUCUCAGCUGAUUCGAGAAAAAUGAUCCACCUUGUAAGACUUCCAUUAUCAGAAUCUAUUGGUCCACCUUGUAAGACUGGCCCUUCUAUGUUAGUAUAUAAACCUAUUAGUAUCUAUGGAAGUACCAGGCUUGCUCUUCUUUA